GAUGAAGAACGUAGCGAAAUGCGAUAAGUAGUGUGAAUUGCAGAAUUCAGUGAAUCAUCGAAUCUUUGAACGCACAUUGCGCCUUCUGGUAUUCCGGAAGGCAUGCCUGUUCGAGAGUCAUUAACAACCGUUUCGAUCCCUUUCUUUCAGAAAUUACAAAGAGGAAAAGGGUUUGGUUAUGGUGGAGGAGGGAAAGGGAGCGUUUAGCCUGUAAAAAAAGAGGCUGUGUUCCGCCUCCCCCCCAAAAUUGUACAGGCGGUCGUGUGCGCCCACGCAUCGAGGUGUUGUAAAAGCUGCCACGGCACUUUUCACCUGUGCAGUGCGAGAUUGGCCAGCCGGUUUAAAAACCCCUCCAAACAAUCAAAGGUUGACCUCGGAUCAGGUAGGGAUACCCGCUGAACUUAAGCAUAUCAAUAAGCGGAGGA
rnacentral:misc_RNA from 1 species